UUGGUAAUGAUGGCUAUAAACAGCAUCUGUAUUGACAUUUCGUCGCUGACAGAUUUCAUAACCUGUCAUACCCGUUAAUUUUAACGAUUAAUAUCUCGCUUUACAGGACAGAGCAAUAAUUUUAACUUACAUAUUUAGUUUUUACGCGUGAAAAUACGCAAUAUAUUGUAGAGUUUCAGUCAAAUCAGAAGCGAAGACUCAAAAGUAUAUAAUUACUUUCAAUAAAAAAUAUAUUCCACAAAUAAAAGAAACAAUAUUUAGUCUCAUGAGUAAUAUUAAACAGGGAUUUAUUGCUGUGCACGUAGGUGCUGGUCAGCAUUCAGUAUCACUCAAAGAAAAGUAUCAAAAGUUGUGUCGUGAAGCAUGCAAAGUGGGAACUGAAAGUCUGAAAUUAGGUGGUAGUGCAUUAGAUGCUGUUGUCAAAGCUACAGUUGAACUAGAAGAUUCUCCCAUGACAAAUGCUGGAUUUGGAUCAAAUCUUACUUUAAAUGGAACAGUAGAGUGUGAUGCAAGUGUAAUGGAUGGUAGUAGCUUGCAGUUUGGUGCAGUUGGUGCAGUAAGUGGAAUAAAAAAUCCUGUGUUGUUGGCAAAGCGUUUGUGUGAACAACAAUCCAUUAAAUUUCCAUAUGGCAGAAUCCCACCUAGCUUCUUAGUUGGAAAUGGCGCUCAUAUUUGGGCACAUGAAAUGGGUAUACAAACCUUACCACCAGAACAGUUAAUAUCAAUGAGAGCGCAGAAAAUCUAUAAACACUACAAGAGAAAAGUAGAAGACAACAGUGUGGAGAUUCAAAAGUGUGCUAAGAAAAGAAUGGACACAGUAGGUGCUAUAUGUGUCGAUGAUAGUGGAAACAUUGCUACAGCUUGUUCGAGUGGAGGUAUAAUAUUGAAAUACCCUGGAAGAGUUGGACAGGCCGGAGUAUGGGGCUGUGGUACUUGGGCUUGUAAAGAUACAUCUUACUCGAUAGGUGCUAGUACAUCAGGUUGCGGAGAACACCUCGUGCGUACUUCGUUAGCGCGCACAAUCGCGGAAGCUAUUUCCGAAGCACCUUGUCCAACUACAAGCAUGCAUCGAGCAAUGAACGAAGAUUUUAUCGGUGAAAACCCAUUCGAAGUUUCUCGAUGGACUUGAACAGAAACUUGGUGGCGUAAUUGCCAUACGAUAUUCGCCGCAGGAAGGAUUGGGCGAUUUUCUCUGGAGCCAUUCCACAAAUUCUAUGAUAAUAGGCUAUAUGAACACAUGUGAAAACGCACCAGUAAGUUAUAUGUCAGUCUUACCAUCAUCUGAAGUAGGCAAAAAAGUUAUUGUUGAAGGUGUCUGUUUUAAAAUAACGAAACUUGAAGCCUGAUUGAAACUUUAUAGAUAGGGUGUAGGUACUUUUUUUAUGAAAUAACUUAUAGUAUUAUGAAUUAUAUACACACAACACUUUUGUACAAAAUCGCAAAAUGUUAUUUUUUCAAAUUCAUAAUAGUGUCGCUGUGACAAGUCAUUUUACACAAUCAUCAUUUUAUAAUAUACAGUUUUGCAAACAUUUUCCUACAUUUGAUGUGUUUAUGUUAAAUCGUACACAAGUAUAAUAAACUCUUGAUAAUAAUUUAAAAUAUACUCUUUUAAUAGAAUUAUACUAUAA